GACGAACGCUGGCGGCGUGCUUAACACAUGCAAGUCGAACGAAGUGGCGAACGGGUGAGUAAAGCGUAAUCAACCUGCCCUUCAGAGGGGGACAAAAGUUGGAAACGACUGCUAAUACCGAAUACUGAAGGAGGGGAAUGCGUGUGAUUAGCUAGUUGGAGGGGUAACGGCCCACCAAGGCGAUGAGCAGUAGCCGGUCUGGGAGGAUGAACGGCCACAUUGGGACUGAGACACGGCCCAGACUCCUACGGGGGGCAGCAGUGGGGAAACUUCCGCAAUGGACGAAAGUCUGACGGAGCAACGCCGCGUGAGUGAUGACGGCCUUCGGGUUGUAAAGCUCUGUUAAUCGGGACGCGGUACCGGAAUAGAAAGCCACGGCUAACUACGUGCCAGCAGCCGCGGUAAUUC
rnacentral:rRNA from 1 species